rnacentral:rRNA from 1 species
GAUGAACGCUGGCGGCGUGCCUAAUACAUGCAAGUCGAGCGAACGGACGAGAAGCUUGCUUCUCUGAUGUUAGCGGCGGACGGGUGAGUAACACGUGGAUAACCUACCUAUAAGACUGGGAUAACUUCGGGAAACCGGAGCUAAUACCGGAUAAUAUUAUGAACCGCAUGGUUCAAAAGUGAAAGACGGUCUUGCUGUCACUUAUAGAUGGACCCGCGCUGCAUUAGCUAGUUGGUAAGGUAACGGCUUACCAAGGCAACGAUGCAUAGCCGACCUGAGAGGGUGAUAGGCCGCACUAGAACUGAGACACGGUCCAGGCUCCUACGGGAGGCAGCAGUAGGGAAUCUUCCGCAAGGGGCGAAAGCCUGACGGAGCAACGCCGCGUGAGUGAUGAAGGUCUUCGGAUCGUAAAACUCUGUUAUUAGGGAAGAACAUAUGUGUAAGUAACUGUGCACAUCUUGACGGUACCUAAUCAGAAAGCCACGGCUAACUACGUG